rnacentral:rRNA from 1 species
UACAGAGGGGGCAAGCGUUGUUCGGAAUUACUGGGCGUAAAGGGCGCGUAGGCGGCCUGCUAAGUCGAACGUGAAAUCCCUGGGCUCAACCCAGGAACUGCGUCCGAUACUGGUUGGCUUGAAUCCGGGAGAGGGAUGUGGAAUUCCAGGUGUAGCGGUGAAAUGCGUAGAUAUCUGGAGGAACACCGGUGGCGAGGGCGACAUCCUGGACCGGUAUUGACGCUGAGGCGCGAAAGCCAGGGGAGCAAACGGG